rnacentral:rRNA from 1 species
AUUGAACGCUGGCGGCAGGCCUAACACAUGCAAGUCGAGCGGAUGAAGGGAGCUUGCUCCUGGAUUCAGCGGCGGACGGGUGAGUAAUGCCUAGGAAUCUGCCUGGUAGUGGGGGAUAACGUCCGGAAACGGGCGCUAAUACCGCAUACGACCUGAGGGAGAAAGUGGGGGAUCUUCGGACCUCGCGCUACCAGAUGAGCCUAGGUCGGAUUAGCUAGUUGGUGAGGUAAAGGCCUACCAAGGCGACGAUCCGUAACUGGUCUGAGAGGAUGAUCAGUCACACUGGAACUGAGACACGGUCCAGACUCCUACGGGAGGCAGCAGUGGGGAAUAUUGGACAAUGGGCGAAAGCCUGAUCCAGCCAUGCCGCGUGUGUGAAGAAGGUCUUCGGAUUGUAAAGCACUUUAAGUUGGGAAGAAGAGCAGUAAGUUAAUACCUGGCUGUUUUGACGUUACCAACAGAAUAAGCACCGGCUAACUUCGUG